GAUGAACGCUGGCGGCGUGCCUAAUACAUGCAAGUCGAGCGAACAGACCAGGAGCUUGCGCCUCUGACGUUAGCGCCCGACGGGUGAGUAACACGUGGAUAACCUAGCUAUAAGACUGGGAUAACAUCGGGAAACAGGAGCUAAUACCGGAUAAUAUAUUGAACCACAUGGAGCAAUAGUGAAAGUAGGUUUUGCUGGCAGUUAUAGAUGGAUCCGCGUCGGAUUAGCUAGUUGGUAAGGUAACGGCUUACCAAGGCAACGAUGGUUAGCCGACCUGAGCGGGUGGUCGCCCACAUUGGAACUGAGGCACGGUCCAGACUCCUGCGGGAGGCAGCAGUAGGGACUCUUCCGCGAGGGGCGAGAGCCUGACGGUGCAACGCGGCGUGAGGGAUGAAGGUCUUCGGAUGGUUAAGCUCUGUUGUUAGGAGAGAACAAAUGUGUAAUUAGCGGGGCACGUAAUGACGGUACCUACACAGAAAGCCCCGGCUAACUUCGUG
rnacentral:rRNA from 1 species